CGAACUCUGGUAUUGAUUGGUGCUUGCAUCAUGAUUUACAUUUGAGUGAGUGGCGAACUGGUGAGUAACACGUGGGAAACCUGCCCAGAAGCGGGGGAUAACACCUGGAAACAGAUGCUAAUACCGCAUAACAACUUGGACCGCAUGGUCCGAGUUUGAAAGAUGGCUUCGGCUAUCACUUUUGGAUGGUCCCGCGGCGUAUUAGCUAGAUGGUGGGGUAACGGCUCACCAUGGCAAUGAUACGUAGCCGACCUGAGAGGGUAAUCGGCCACAUUGGGACUGAGACACGGCCCAAACUCCUACGGGAGGCAGCAGUAGGGAAUCUUCCACAAUGGACGAAAGUCUGAUGGAGCAACGCCGCGUGAGUGAAGAAGGGUUUCGGCUCGUAAAACUCUGUUGUUAAAGAAGAACAUAUCUGAGAGUAACUGUUCAGGUAUUGACGGUAUUUAACCAGAAAGCCACGGCUAACUACGUGCCAGCAGCCGCGGUAAUACGUAGGUGGCAAGCGUUGUCCGGAUUUAUUGGGCGUAAAGCGAGCGCAGGCGGUUUUUUAAGUCUGAUGUGAAAGCCUUCGGCUCAACCGAAGAAGUGCAUCGGAAACUGGGAAACUUGAGUGCAGAAGAGGACAGUGGAACUCCAUGUGUAGCGGUGAAAUGCGUAGAUAUAUGGAAGAACACCAGUGGCGAAGGCGGCUGUCUGGUCUGUAACUGACGCUGAGGCUCGAAAGUAUGGGUAGCAAACAGGAUUAGAUACCCUGGUAGUCCAUACCGUAAACGAUGAAUGCUAAGUGUUGGAGGGUUUCCGCCCUUCAGUGCUGCAGCUAACGCAUUAAGCAUUCCGCCUGGGGAGUACGGCCGCAAGGCUGAAACUCAAAGGAAUUGACGGGGGCCCGCACAAGCGGUGGAGCAUGUGGUUUAAUUCGAAGCUACGCGAAGAACCUUACCAGGUCUUGACAUACUAUGCAAAUCUAAGAGAUUAGACGUUCCCUUCGGGGACAUGGAUACAGGUGGUGCAUGGUUGUCGUCAGCUCGUGUCGUGAGAUGUUGGGUUAAGUCCCGCAACGAGCGCAACCCUUAUUAUCAGUUGCCAGCAUUAAGUUGGGCACUCUGGUGAGACUGCCGGUGACAAACCGGAGGAAGGUGGGGAUGACGUCAAAUCAUCAUGCCCCUUAUGACCUGGGCUACACACGUGCUACAAUGGAUGGUACAACGAGUUGCGAACUCGCGAGAGUAAGCUAAUCUCUUAAAGCCAUUCUCAGUUCGGAUUGUAGGCUGCAACUCGCCUACAUGAAGUCGGAAUCGCUAGUAAUCGCGGAUCAGCAUGCCGCGGUGAAUACGUUCCCGGGCCUUGUACACACCGCCCGUCACACCAUGAGAGUUUGUAACACCCAAAGUCGGUGGGGUAACCUUUUAGGAACCA
rnacentral:rRNA from 1 species